GAUGAACGCUGGCGGCGUGCCUAAUACAUGCAAGUCGAGCGAACGGACGAGAAGCUUGCUUCUCUGAUGUUAGCGGCGGACGGGUGAGUAACACGUGGAUAACCUACCUAUAAGACUGGGAUAACUUCGGGAAACCGGAGCUAAUACCGGAUAAUAUUUUGAACCGCAUGGUUCAAAAGUGAAAGACGGUCUUGCUGUCACUUAUAGAUGGAUCCGCGCUGCAUUAGCUAGUUGGUAAGGUAACGGCUUACCAAGGCAACGAUGCAUAGCCGACCUGAGAGGGUGAUCGGCCACACUGGAACUGAGACACGGUCCAGACUCCUACGGGAGGCAGCAGUAGGGAAUCUUCCGCAAUGGGCGAAAGCCUGACGGAGCAACGCCGCGUGAGUGAUGAAGGGCUUCGGAUCGUAAAACUCUGUUAUUAGGGAAGAACAGAUGUGUAAGUAACUGUGCACAUCUUGACGGUACCUAAGCAGAAAGCCACGGCUAACUACGU
rnacentral:rRNA from 1 species